rnacentral:lncRNA from 1 species
CUGGGCUACCACCCCGUCCAGUGUUACCGGUAUUGUAAGAACAAGCCAUACCCAAAGUUUCCUUUCUGCCGUGGUGUCCCUGAUGAUCCACAUCUUUGACUUAGGACAGAGGAAAGCGAAAGUUGAUGAAUUCCCACUUUAUGGCUACAUGGUGUCAGAUGAAUAUGAACAGCUUUCUUCUGGAGCACUGGAGGCUGCCCGUAUUUGUGCCAACAAAUAGACCAUAAAGAAUUGUGGUGGCAAGGAUGACUUUCAUAUCCAAGUGAGGCUCCAUCUUUUCCAUGUUGUUCGUAUUAUCAAGAUGUUGUCCUGUGCUGGAUCUGACAGGCUCCAGACAGGUAUACGAUGUGUAGUGCCUUUGGGAAGCCCCAGGGCACAGUGGCCAGGGUUCAUAUUGGCCAGGUCAAGUCCAUCUUCGACAAGUUGCCAAGUAAGGAACAGGUGAUUGAGGCUCUACACAGAGUCAAGUUCAAGUUCCCUAGCCUCCAGAAGAUCCACAUCUCAAAGUGGGGCUUCACCAAGUUUAAUGCAGAUGAAUUUGAAGACAUGGUUGCUGAGAAGCGGCUCAUUCCUGAUGGCUGUGGUGUCAAAUAUAUCCCCAGUCAUGGUCCUCUGGACAAGUUCAGAGCCCUGCAUUCCUGA